rnacentral:rRNA from 1 species
GCUAGUGUUGAUGAUGAACCGGUUAUUACUGUGGAUAUUUAUGAUCUAAGCAAUUUGGGUAAUCUUGAAAAUAAAUUGAGGGAUAUAUUAGUGGAAAAGGGGCCUAAAAGGAAAGAAGAAAACACUAAAUAUUCUUUGGAUGAAAAUUCAAGACAUUUUUCAUAUACGCAUUACUCAAGAAAUAUGUGCAAUUGA